AGCUGUUACUGGUCGGAAGAUGUUCUGGAUAUAAAAGGAUAGCAGGCAGGGGUCUGCAAAAAGACAGGUCCUGAGGGAGGAAAGAGCCCCUUCAGGAGAGGGAGGAUGCUGUUGUGUAAAUGAGCAAAAUCUGAAAAAAACAGGGAGCAUCCCACUAUGCACCAACAAAAAGAGACCACAUCUCAGGAUGUUUGUUCCCAUCUGAUGAGCUCAACAUGUUUCGUCCAAAGGCCUUCCUCAAGGACAACUAAACUUUAUGAGAACUCCGAUGAAAAUGCAGUUCAUUGACUUCAACCACUGAACAGACAGUGAUCUCUGGCCCUCUUGCUGGGCCUUGAUCCCAGGACAACUCUUGCAACUCUCCUCCUAACCUGUCUCAAUGGGCCCUUUAAGUUUACAUUUCAUAUAAAUAUGUAUCACUUUAUUGUUCAAACCUGUUUCCUUAGAAACAACAAGUUGAAAAGAAUUGAAAUGGGGAGGGAGAAUAUCAUCUUGCAAACAGUGUGACCAUUUAAAUGUUAAUUUACAAUUCUAAAAGGAUAACAAAUGUACAAUUCAUUCAGCUCUUGUUUCUUCCCCCUCAAAUUAUAUUAGGGCAUGGAAUCUUUAAUUGCUGUAUUAAACCAGCUAAUGUUGGCAAAGUGCUUUGCGAAUGAAUAGUGCAAUAUAAAUACUCAAUGCUGCUAUUGAAGAAUGUAUUUGCCCUUCCAUAAGUUAGAUUUUUGUUCUCCCAUUAAAAAAAGAAAGAAAAAAAUAGGUUAAGUACAAAAACUAAUGAUGUACAAGCAAUGUCAAGGGGAUACAUUAGCAAUGAGCACAUUUAUAACUUACUGUACCUGGGAGGUUCUAUUGUUUAAAAAUGUAUCUGCAGAAAAAAUAUUAGAGGGCAAAACCAGGUGCAUUAGCAUGAUCUGGCAUAAACUCAGCUGCACAUUUCAUAUUCUAGCUAACAAAUGCCUACAGAAGUACCUUGGAUUAAAAACAAUCUCUGUACAAAGUGUGCCUCACAGUAAUAUUUACAUAGAAAGGCUUAAUAUAUCGAAAUGCAGGAACAGUGUUCUCUGUUAGUGGGAUACACCCAUGUGAUACAAUGAAUUAUAGUACCUUAUGUAUGAAAAUGCUCUUUAGAUAAGGUAUUGUGAGAACAAUGGCUCGAUCUAUUAGGCAAAUACUUCAAUGUGUUCAACAAAAGAAAAAUAAAUAUCCAGAUUGUUAGACUUUGA